rnacentral:rRNA from 1 species
GACAGAGGUGCCAAGCGUUAGGCGGAAUCACUGGGCUUAAAGCGUGUGUAGGCGGAUCGUUAAGUGUCUUGUGAAAUCCCACGGCUCAACCGUGGAACUGCUCGACAUACUGGCGAUCUUGAGCAACCUAGGGGCGAGCGGAACAAAUGGUGGAGCGGUGAAAUGCGUAGAUAUCAUUUGGAACGCCAAUGGUGAAAACAGCUCGCUGGGGGGUUUGCUGACGCUGAGACACGAAAGCCAGGGGAGCGAACGGGG